ensembl:lncRNA novel transcript, antisense to DSCR3
AGGAAGGAACUGAGAACACCAGCAUCUGCUGCCGCCCUGAAUCAGCGUUAGCAUGUGGAGGCAACCUCAGCCCCCAGUUUUUGAAGAAGGUGAUUCAGAUUCAGACACAGGAAUUAUGGUGACGGUAGAAAUGGACUGGAAGGUUCGUUCCCCUUGCCCACCAAGACUCCAGAGCAGUUUCUUUCAGGGUGGAAACAGUCCCAACCUAGAAAGCUGAUCAGAAGACUCCCACCCACAUACCAGCAAUUGGUAUCUGCAUGGCUACGUACGCAGCUUCCUCUGAAUCCAGGUAUCUCAUUUAACUGUUUUAACGACCCCGAUCUUCAGGAUCAAGAAGCAGACCCAGCACAGUGAGGCUGCCUGGCUAACAGGGUUGACGUGUGAACCCACGGCUCCCCCUCACCGAGCCCCGUGCUCUUCUGGGCAGCGCUGCCUCUGCUCCUGACAGCCCACCAGCUUCCUCGGAGCCUUCCUGCUGCAGCCGCUCAGGGAGAGCAGGCCUUUCCUCCAGCCCUGUGGCCUGCACAGACCUCCUCAGCUGGGCCUCCAAGGAGGAGCAGGAGGGUACUAACAUUUGGAACCUGCCUUCAAGGCACGUAUUCAUGCUUUUUAAGCAUUUAUAGUUUAACAUCAGUGGCUCGGAGAAGACCCAUGACUUAGGAAGUGAAUCUCUUAAGUACUAAUGGAUUAAAAUAAAGUUGUAGAAAACAUAGGAAGCCCCUAAA